UACGUAGGAUGCAAGCGUUAAUCGGAAUUACUGGGCGUAAAGCGUGCGCAGGCGGUAAUGUAAGACAGAUGUGAAAUCCCCGGGCUCAACCUGGGAACUGCAUUUGUGACUGCAUUGCUGGAGUGCGGCAGAGGGGGAUGGAAUUCCGCGUGUAGCAGUGAAAUGCGUAGAUAUGCGGAGGAACACCGAUGGCGAAGGCAAUCCCCUGGGCCUGCACUGACGCUCAUGCACGAAAGCGUGGGGAGCAAACAGG
rnacentral:rRNA from 1 species